AUGGGAGGGGGGAGCGGCGGCGGCGGGGUGUGGCCGGUGGUGGUGAUGGUGUUCCUCAACGCGAUCGCGGCGGUCAUGGUGUCGCUCGUCAAGGUGGCCAUGAACGGCGGGCUGGACCCGCUGGUGCUCGUGACGCUGCAGCAGCUCACGGCCGCCAUCUUCCUCGGCCCCAUCGCCUACUUCCGGGAGGGCAAGGCGCGGCCGAGGAUGACGCUGGAGAUCUUCGCCUACCUCUUCGCCAGCGCGGCGCUGGGGGCGGCGCUGCGGCAGUACAUGAUCUUCGUGGCGCUGCGCUACACCACGGCCACCUUCGUCACGGCCUUCUCCAACGUGGCGCCGGUCCUCACCUUCCUCCUCGCCGCCGCCACGCGGUCCGAGUCCCUGAAGCUCAGGACCGCCACGGGCGUCGCCAAGCUCGCGGGCACGCUGGUGUCGCUCGCGGGCGCCAUGGUGCUCACCUUCUACCGCGGCGUGCCCCUCACCCACGCCCACCACGGCCAGCUGCACUACUCCGCGCCGUCGCCGGUGGGCGCCGACCCUGCCGCCGGCAAGAGGUGGACGCUGGGCACGGUGGCGAUCCUGGGCAACUGCGUGUGCCUCUCCUGCUGGUUCCUGCUGCACGGCCGGCUCGCCCGCAAGUACCCCUACGUCUACUCCUGCAACGCCUUCAUGUCCACCUUCAGCUUCCUCCAGGUGGCCGCCGUCGGGCUCUGCGCCCACCGCAGCCUCGGCCUCGCCGCCUGGCUCGUCACCUCCAAGUUCCAGAUCCUCACCAUCCUCUACGCCGGCGUGGUGGGGUGCGGGGUGUCGUUCGUGCUGCUGACGUGGUGCAUCGAGAAGCGGGGGCCGGUGUUCGUGGCGGCCUUCAUCCCGGUGGUGCAGAUCAUCGUCUCCGUCAUGGACUUCACCGUGCUGCACGAGACGCUCUACCUCGGAAGUGUGCUGGGAUCGGUGUUGGUGAUAGGUGGGCUGUACCUGCUGCUGUGGGGCAAGAGGCAGGAGGCCCUGCAGCAGCCUCCAAAAAUUGCAGAGGAUGACAGAGAGCAGCAACAGCAGCAAGCAGUGCAGCACCAGCAGCAACAGCAACAACAGGUGCAAGUCCAGAUGCAGCCCUGA
rnacentral:rRNA from 1 species